rnacentral:lncRNA from 1 species
UGUCCUCUGUACUGUUAAUUUCAAAUGAAUGGAUAAUGUUAUGAGAUUAUUUCACCUAAGGUUAACCAGAAGGCGCAACCUGAAAGCAUCUGAAGGAAGGACAGACUCAUCAAGAUUACUUACUAACAAAAAAACAGGUUGAUCACACCUCUAGCCAAGGAAGGGAAGAAAGGAAGCAGUAAAUAUGCUUUCAAAGUACUGCAGCAUAAACUGGUGGCAAUGAGAUGGUUGAGUGGGCAGAGUGCUUCUGAUUGAAGCACAUUCUCUGUGGGUUGCAGUAACUCCCAGUUACUGAGGCAUCAUGUAAUGAAAGUACCGAACAUGCCACUGAUGUAUAGACACUGAAUAUUUUUUUACACCAGUUAUUUAAUUAUUAUUUUCCACUUGGGAAUAUUUCUUCAAUUUUCUAGUAGAAACAAUAGGAAAAAUAAUAAUAUUUUCUUCAUGGAAAAGCAUGACUUCACAGACAAAUCUUCC